CGGGGCGUGGCUCAGCUUGGCUAGAGCGCUUGGUUCGGGACCAAGAGGUCGCGAGUUCAAAUCUCGCCGCCCCGA
rnacentral:tRNA from 1 species